rnacentral:rRNA from 1 species
GAUGAAACGCUGGCGGCGUGCUUAACACAUGCAAGUCGAACGAAGCACUUUGGACAGAUUCUUCGGAUGAAGUCCUCAGUGACUGAGUGGCGGACGGGUGAGUAACGCGUGGGUAACCUGCCUCAUACAGGGGAUAACAGUUAGAAAUGGCUGCUAAUACCGCAUAAGCGCACGGUACUGCAUGGUACAGUGUGAAAACUCCGGUGGUAUGAGAUGGACCCGCGUUGGAUUAGCUAGUUGGCAGGUAACGGCUACCAAGGCGACGAUCCGAUAGCCGGCCUGAGAGGUGGACGGCCACAUUGGGACUGAGACACGGCCCAGACUCCUACGGGA